rnacentral:rRNA from 1 species
AACCCCUCGCCGUCGCCGCACCGCCGCCGCGCCGCCUCCGCGCUCUCCCCGUCCAAAUCCACCAACGCCAAUGCCGACGCCCGGGCCGCCAGGCCCCGCCCCAAGGCCGUCCCCUCCCGCUACCUCCUCGCGCCCUCCUCCAACUCCACAUCCACCUCCACCUCCACAUCCACAUCCACCACCACCACCACCACCUCCUCCAACUCCACCUCCACCUCGGCCGCCACGCCCUCCCGCCGCUUCGCGUCGCCGCUGCCCAGGCGCUCCUCGUCCGUCGACCGCCCGCGCCCCGCGGGGGGCAAUGCCGCCGCCGCCGACGCCGCGGGGCCCAACGGGGCCACCACCACCACCACCAGGAGCCUCUCCGUCGCCUUCCAGGGCCGCUCCUACUUCCUCGAGACCAGCAAGGCCAAGCCGGCCAUGUCCCCCUCGCCGGUGCGCCGGCCCGCGGCGCCGCCGGUGGCUUCCACCACGCCGGAGAGGAGGCGGCCUGCUGCGGGCGCGGUGCCGGAGAGGGCCAAGGGGUCCGAAGGGGGCCAUACCCACCAGAGGUGGCCAAUGUCGGCACACGGGUUCGAGGGGAACCCGCUCACCAAGAGCCUCGACUGCUCCUUGGACAAGAAGGGCGCUGCUGUCCUGGCCGCUGUCAGAUCGCUGCGGCAGUCCAUGGCGUUCGACGACGGGGUGCGCCGCACCUCGUUUGACAGCGGGGACUACUUGAUGUCGUCGGACACUGAGAGCUUGUCAUCAGGGAGCAAUUCCGAGUCCCAGGAUGCCGGCAAUGGCGUUGCUCACAGAGCACGCCCAUCAACAAAGGGGAUGAGUGUGCCUGCACGCUUCUUGCAUGAUGCUGCUGGCAGCAGGAUGCAUCGCUUUGCAGACCCAGGCACACCCUACGUGACACAUAAUAAUUCUGGAUUGGCAUUGUCACCAAGAUCAGCGCCGGUGAAGAAGUCGCUGUUGAAUGGGUUUGUUUCGUCUCCACUCAACAGACCAGUUAGGCAGUCUUCACCAAGUAAGCUUGUGGGCAAUUCAUCGAGGAGAAUGUCAAGUCCAUCCCGCCCAAGGAACUCCAUGGGGACGAGUGCGUCAACGUGGGAUCAGCAGGGAAGAAAUUCGUCUGGUUACGGUAGGAGGUGGGUUGGGGGUAGUAAGGUUGAUGGGGAGCACCUAUUGAGAAUCUUGUGCAAUAGACAUUUGCAGUGGCGGUGUGUAAAUGCGCAGGCUGAUGCCACACUUGCUUCACAGAAGAUGACUGCAGAGAAAGACCUAUGUGAUGCAUGGAUUACUACCCUAAGCAUGCGCAAAUCUGUUGCUCUUAAAAGGUUACAGCUACAAUUAUUCCGAAACAAUUGGAAACUCAUGACGGUUCUAAAGGGACAGAUGCCAUAUUUGGAGGAGUGGUCUUCACUAGAGAUGGAGUAUGCAGAUUCAAUAUCUGGAAUUGUGGAAGCUCUAACUGCCACCAUUCUGUGCCUUCCUGUCGAUGGAGCAAAGGCCGAUAUCCAAGAUGUAAAAAAUGCUGUUGGAUCUGCAAUUGAUAUCAUGCAAACAAUAGGAAGUUCAAUAUGUUCGUUGCUGGCUAAGCUAUCUGGGACAAGUAUUUUGGUGUCUGAUCUUGCCAGAAUCGCCACACAAGAGCGGUCUCUAAUGGACCAGUCCAGGGAACUGCUGUCCACACUCGCAUCAAUGCACGUCAAGUACUGUAGCCUGCAAGGGCAGCGAGUACAGACAACUCACAGGAGGCUCAAGCACUCGUAG